CCCUUAGAUGUUCUGGGCCGCACGCGCGCUACACUGAUGCAUUCAACGAGUUUCUUCCUGGUCCGAGAGGAAUGGGUAACCUUUUGAAAGUGCAUCGUGAUAGGGAUAGACUAUUGCAAUUAUUGGUCUUCAACGAGGAAUUCCUAGUAGACGUAGUUCAUCAGACUGCAUCGCUUACGUCCCUGCCCUUUGUACACACCGCCCGUCGCUCCUACCGAUUGAAUGCUCAGGUGAGCCAUUCGGACUUUCAUCAUGCUGGUUUCCAGUUUUGAUGAAGGAAAGUCUUGCGAACCUUAUCAUUUAGAGGAAGGAGAAGUCGUAACA
rnacentral:rRNA from 1 species